rnacentral:siRNA from 1 species
AGAACAAUGUGGAAUGUUGGCUUC